CAUAUACUCCCUCUGUUCUGAAUUACUUGUCUUAGAUUUGUCUAGAUACGGAUGUAUUUAGCACUAAAAUGAGUCUAGAUACAUUUGUAUCUAGACAAAUCCAAGACAAGUAAUUUAGAAAGGAGGGAGUAUAUA
rfam:Triticum aestivum genome assembly, contig: Triticum_aestivum_CS42_TGACv1_scaffold_295996_4AL